CUACGGGUCGCUCCAGUGGGGAAUAUUGGACAAUGGGGGCAACCCUGAUCCAGCAAUGCCGCGUGAGUGAAGAAGGCCUUAGGGUUGUAAAGCUCUUUCACUGGAGAAGAUGAUGACGGUAUCCAGAGAAGAAGCCCCGGCUAACUUCGUGCCAGCAGCCGCGGUAAUACGAAGGGGGCUAGCGUUGAUCGGAAUUACUGGGCGUAAAGGGCGCGUAGGCGGUUAAAUAAGUUAGGUGUGAAAUCCCGGGGCUCAACCUCGGCAUAGCAUUUAAAACUGUUUAGCUAGAAUACAAGAGAGGACAGUGGAAUUCCUAGUGUAGAGGUGAAAUUCGUAGAUAUUAGGAAGAACAUCGGAGGCGAAGGCGGCUGUCUGGCUUGAUAUUGACGCUGAUGCGCGAAAGCGUGGGUAGCAAACAGGAUUAGAUACCCCAGUAGUC
rnacentral:rRNA from 1 species